rnacentral:ncRNA from 14 species
GGCUCAAUGGUCUAAUGGCAUGAUUCUCGCUUCGGGUGCGAGAGGUUCCGGUUUCGAUUACCGGUUGAGCCC